GUCCAUGCCGUAAACGUUGGGCACUAGGUGUGGGGGACAUUCCACGUUUUCCGCGCCGUAGCUAACGCAUUAAGUGCCCCGCCUGGGGAGUACGGCCGCAAGGCUAAAACUCAAAGGAAUUGACGGGGGCCCGCACAAGCGGCGGAGCAUGCGGAUUAAUUCGAUGCAACGCGAAGAACCUUACCAAGGCUUGACAUGGACCGGACCGCCGCAGAAAUGUGGUUUCUCCUUUUGGGGCCGGUUCACAGGUGGUGCAUGGUUGUCGU
rnacentral:rRNA from 1 species